CCGGUGCCCUUGGUGACAUCAUGGUCCUGAUCCAUGAGAGUAACUUGAGGAAGCAGUGGGCUCUGUGACAUUAGCCCUGUGAACAACCUCCAUAGUCUGCGCUUAGCUUCUCCCCUUGUUGGUGAAAUUGACCCAGUAAUCUUAAUGAUACGGUAACUAUGACGAUAGAAACUGGAGUUGACCCUCCUUACCAAUAUGCUCAGGAUGGUAAAGUAACCACUAUUCCUGGAGUUGCUUAGGAGUGAGGCCUCCUUAUCUGCCCUGUCCUGCUAUGGGUGAGUCAUCACCACCACAGCCAUGCCCAAUACACUCACGGAGCUGGGCAGUGAGAAGAGAGAACCGAACACACACUUCAUGCAGCAGUCUUCUUUCUCUCCACAGACAGUGCUGCCCAAUGACGAUAAUUCCUCUCUACCAUUUAUUCUAAUUCAAAGAUCAUUUCCCUGGAGACAUAUGAACAGAAGUAGCACUUACGAUAAAAGUACUACAAGCAAUCUACAGAGUACAUGCCAUGGGUGAACAAUGAAAGUGAAGGUAUAUAGAAGUACUGUAAGCUUGUCCAACUGUUGUAAAAUCAACAACUAAUCAGGUCUGAGAAUUGAACCAAAACCUUAACAAUUGAGCUUCUCUGGCAUUAGACAUGCUUUAGUAUGUGGACUUCCACUGAGGCAAGAGCUACAGCCUUAAGGAAAACUGGUCUUCAUCUUCAACCAGCUAUUGAUUGCCUGUGAGGAAUAGGACUUUGUGUUUACCUCCACACAUCAUAGUGGGAUUUCAUCUGGCUUGGUGUUACACAAGCCUUAACCAAGCUGUCACAACCACUGUGAAUUCACGUAUGUAGCCACUCUAUUUUGUCUGGAAAUUGCUGUUUCCCUGAGGUUAUUCACUGUCUCAGGCUCUUACUGUGUUUGAGCCUCAUCUUCUGUAAUGAUCCCAGUGCUCUGGGAGGAAAGAUGAGAUAUGGAUCUCCCAUUUAGGACUGUGCACUCUGUAGUCUCCUAUGAUCAGUUGUGGGUAUCUAUGUUAAUCAUCAUCCACUACAAAAUGAAAUUUUUUUAUUGGUUAUUUUAUUUAUUUACAUUUUCAAUGUUAUCUCCCUUCCUAGUUUCCCCUCCGCAAACCCCCUAUCAUAUCCUCCUCCCCAGUGCUUCUAUGAGGGUGCUCCCCAC